UGGGGAAUCUUGCACAAUGGAGGAAACUCUGAUGCAGCGACGCCGCGUGAGCGAUGAAGCCCUUCGGGGUGUAAAGCUCUUUCGACGGGAACGAUAAUGACGGUACCCGGAGAAGAAGCUGCGGCUAACUACGUGCCAGCAGCCGCGGUAAUACGUAGGCAGCAAGCGUUGUUCGGAAUUACUGGGCGUAAAGAGUGUGUAGGUGGUGCUCCAAGUCUGUUGUGAAAUCUCCCGGCUUAACCGGGAGGGUGCGGCGGAAACUGGAAUGCUUGAGGAUGGGAGAGGAAAGCGGAAUUCCUGGUGUAGCGGUGAAAUGCGUAGAUAUCAGGAGGAACACCCGUGGUGUAGACAGCUUUCUGGACCAUAUCUGACACUGAGACACGAAAGCGUGGGUAGCAAACAGG
rnacentral:rRNA from 1 species